UACGGGGGGAGCAAGCGUUGUUCGGAUUUACUGGGCGUAAAGGGCGCGUAGGCGGUCGUGACAAGUCACUUGUGAAAUCUCCGGGCUUAACUCGGAACGGUCAAGUGAUACUGUCGGACUAGAGUACAGAAGGGGCAACUGGAAUUCUCGGUGUAGCGGUGAACUGCGUAGAUAUCGAGAGGAACACCUGCGGCGAAGGCGGGUUGCUGGGCUGAUACUGACGCUGAGGCGCGAAAGCCAGGGGAGCGAACGGG
rnacentral:rRNA from 1 species